GACGAACGCUGGCGGCGUGCUUAACACAUGCAAGUCGAACGGAAAGGCCCUGCUUUUGUGGGGUGCUCGAGUGGCGAACGGGUGAGUAACACGUGAGUAACCUGCCCUUGACUUUGGGAUAACUUCAGGAAACUGGGGCUAAUACCGGAUAGGAGCUCCUGCUGCAUGGUGGGGGUUGGAAAGUUUCGGCGGUUGGGGAUGGACUCGCGGCUUAUCAGCUUGUUGGUGGGGUAGUGGCUUACCAAGGCUUUGACGGGUAGCCGGCCUGAGAGGGUGACCGGCGACAUUGGGACUGAGAUACGGCCCAGACUCCUACGGGAGGCAGCAGUGGGGAAUAUUGCACAAUAGGCGGAAGCCUGAUGCAGCAACGCCGCGUGCGGGAUAACGGCCUUCGGGUUGUAAACCGCUUUCGCCUGUGACGAAGCGUGAGUGACGGUAAUGGGUAAAGAAGCACCGGCUAACUACGUG
rnacentral:rRNA from 1 species